rnacentral:rRNA from 1 species
AGUGAACGCUGGCGGUAGGCCUAACACAUGCAAGUCGAACGGCAGCACAGUAAGAGCUUGCUCUUACGGGUGGCGAGUGGCGGACGGGUGAGGAAUACAUCGGAAUCUACUUUUUCGUGGGGGAUAACGUAGGGAAACUUACGCUAAUACCGCAUACGACCUACGGGUGAAAGCAGGGGAUCUUCGGACCUUGCGCGAUUGAAUGAGCCGAUGUCGGAUUAGCUAGUUGGCGGGGUAAAGGCCCACCAAGGCGACGAUCCGUAGCUGGUCUGAGAGGAUGAUCAGCCACACUGGAACUGAGACACGGUCCAGACUCCUACGGGAGGCAGCAGUGGGGAAUAUUGGACAAUGGGCGCAAGCCUGAUCCAGCCAUACCGCGUGGGUGAAGAAGGCCUUCGGGUUGUAAAGCCCUUUUGUUGGGAAAGAAAUGCAGCAGGUUAAUACCCCGCUGUUCUGACGGUACCCAAAGAAUAAGCACCGGCUAACUUCGUG